AUUCAGUUGCAUACAGUUCCUGCUUUCAGAAGUUGCUAGAGUGUUUCUCUUUGAACUUGAACUGUGGCUCUUUUGAUAUCCAGAAAGAGAGUUCUUUGUGGGGAUGGUUAAUUCUUGUUUUGGGUGCUUUUCUUCACCGCUCUAAGGAACUACCACAGUCAGAAGGUGCAUUCUUACUGCGAUCUUUUUAUUUGCUACCUUGGGCUUAAGGAGCCUGCCUAUAUCUACUGAGGUGAGGUUAGGUCAGUCUCUGUAACCGUUCGUCACUUAGGCCUUGAUGGGUGACAUGGAUGGGGAUGACUUCCUGGGCUAACUCUUCUCUUGCUAAAGGAUGAUUUUUCACCACCUUGAAUGCCCAUGAUUAAAACAUAAACAAGAAAAUAGAUAUCUGAGGAGAAUGCAGUUGAAACUAAUUUUGUGGAUAGAGAAACUGUUGGAACUGCUUUACAAAGUAUUUUAGUCCAAGGGGUCAAAAGAAUAGGAACAUAAACCAGACAUGUUCUUUGCAGUGAAGAGAGGAUAAGAUUUAUAUCCACAUUGCU
rnacentral:lncRNA from 1 species